rnacentral:rRNA from 1 species
UACGUAGGGUCCGAGCGUUGUCCGGAAUUACUGGGCGUAAAGGGCUCGUAGGUGGUUUGUCGCGUUGUUCGUGAAAACUCACAGCUCAACUGUGGGCGUGCGGGCGAUACGGGCAGACUUGAGUACUGCAGGGGAGACUGGAAUUCCUGGUGUAGCGGUGGAAUGCGCAGAUAUCAGGAGGAACACCGGUGGCGAAGGCGGGUCUCUGGGCAGUAACUGACGCUGAGGAGCGAAAGCGUGGGGAGCGAACAGG